UCUAUACUUCUGCAAAACAGCUCUCUCCCUCUCUCUCUCUCUCUCUCUCUCUCUGUGUUUUUGCCUGUGUUGAAUCAAAUGUUCUUCUCAGAUCUACCAACCAACCCAUCUGAAUCCAUUUCUAUGGCACUCCAUGAGCAUGCCGAACUACAUAUCAGUCACCAACCAAUGGAAUCUUUUCUGGUUUUCUGUUUUUGAUUGGGUUCUGCAAGUAGAGAAAGCCACAUCAGGCAGCCAUCUUCUGAUCUAGAUUCAUUGUCUCACCCAAAUUCCCUCUCCCUUCCAAACCAAACCUAGCCGCCACCCAUGGAAGGCAUACACCGCCAAGUCCAGAUCUUCCCAUAUGGUGGAAGCCAAGCCAAGCCAAGCUGGAGCGAGUCCAUCUUGAAAGUUCUUAAAGAGUUUAGCCACAUAAUUGUUCUAUGAUCUAAAUGCAUGGGAAUCCUAAUUGGUGAACCUUGCUAAGAUGAUGUAACAAUAACAUUCGGAUGCUAUUUGAACUGUGAUGAUAUUGAUCGUGGUGUGCAAACCCCUGAUGACUAUCUGAAGUUAGGGAAGCUUCCUGCACCAGAACUCAUAACAUAAAUGUGAUAUGGAGUUGUCGAGUUGCUAAGAUGAUGUACCUCAUAACAUAAAUGUGAUAUGUAGUGAUGUGAAAAUGCUCGUUGGGCUUUGCUGUUAAAUUUGGCUCAGCUAGUGUAGUUGUUCUAGGAUAUCAAGAAGGCGCUAUUAAGAGAAUUGCAGAUAAGGUUGCUGCAUAAAUGAGGCAAAGUUUGUAGACAAAAUAUUCUUAGGUUCUGUAUGCAUUAUUAUGUGGUUGCUUGAAGUUGGCAAUUGAUUUUCAUGUUUUACAGUUUGAUCCUUGGUACCAUAAUUAUUAGUGAAAUGCACUUGUUUCUUUCAUAUGUAGAGAAAUCUGAAGUUGUAAUUGAAUGGUUUCUGGAAUUUUAUAAUUAAAUAUUUUGGAAUAAUUAAUUUUA